rnacentral:rRNA from 1 species
AGUGAACGCUGGCGGUAGGCCUAACACAUGCAAGUCGAACGGCAGCACAGUAAGAGCUUGCUCUUACGGGUGGCGAGUGGCGGACGGGUGAGGAAUACAUCGGAAUCUACUUUUUCGUGGGGGAUAACGUAGGGAAACUUACGCUAAUACCGCAUACGACCUACGGGUGAAAGCAGGGGAUCUUCGGACCUUGCGCGAUUGAAUGAGCCGAUGUCGGAUUAGCUAGUUGGCGGGGUAAAGGCCCACCAAGGCGACGAUCCGUAGCUGGUCUGAGAGGAUGAUCAGCCACACUGGAACUGAUACACGGUCCAGACUCCUACGGGAGGCAGCAGUGGGGAAUAUUGGACAAUGGGCGCAGGCCUGAUCCAGCCAUACCGCGUGGGUGAAGAAGGCCUUCGGGUUGUAAAGCCCUUUUGUUGGGAAAGAAAAGCAGCAGGUUAAUACCCCGCUGUUCUGACGGUACCCAAAGAAUAAGCACCGGCUAACUUCGUG